rnacentral:rRNA from 1 species
UACGGAGGGUGCGAGCGUUGUCCGGAAUCACUGGGCGUAAAGGGCGCGUAGGCGGCGCGGGAAGUCAUCGGUGAAAGUUCAGGGCUCAACUCUGAAUCGGCCGGUGAUACUCUCGUGCUUGAGCACUGUAGAGGCAGGUGGAAUUCCGGGUGUAGCGGUGGAAUGCGUAGAGAUCCGGAAGAACACCGGUUGCGAAGGCGGCCUGCUGGGCAGUAGCUGACGCUGAUGCGCGACAGCGUGGGGAGCAUACAGG